GUGUGCUCACUGCAGCCGUACAUAUACUAAAGUUGGGACAAUACAGAGAAGAUUAGCAUGGCCCCUGCAUGAGGAUGACACGCAAAUUUGUGAAGCCUUCCAAUUUUUU